ACAUGCAGUCGAGCGAGACGAUGAUCGCGGUAGACUUGCUCCCUGAUGUUAGCGGCGGACGGGUGAGUAACACGUGGGUAACCUGCCUGUAAGACUGGGAUAACUCCGGGAAACCGGGGCUAAUACCGGAUGGUUGUUUGAACCGCAUGGUUCAGACAUAAAAGGUGGCUUCGGCUACCACUUACAGAUGGACCCGCGGCGCAUUAGCUAGUUGGUGAGGUAACGGCUCACCAAGGCGACGAUGCGUAGCCGACCUGAGAGGGUGAUCGGCCACACUGGGACUGAGACACGGCCCAGACUCCUACGGGAGGCAGCAGUAGGGAAUCUUCCGCAAUGGACGAAAGUCUGACGGAGCAACGCCGCGUGAGUGAUGAAGGUUUUCGGAUCGUAAAGCUCUGUUGUUAGGGAAGAACAAGUGCCGUUCAAAUAGGGCGGCACCUUGACGGUACCUAACCAGAAAGCCACGGCUAACUACGUGCCAGCAGCCGCGGUAAUACGUAGGUGGCAAGCGUUGUCCGGGAAUUAUUGGGCGUAAAGGGCUCGCAGGCGGUUUCUUAAGUCUGAUGUGAAAGCCCCCGGCUCAACCGGGGAGGGUCAUUGGAAACUGGGGAACUUGAGUGCAGAAGAGGAGAGUGGAAUUCCACGUGUAGCGGUGAAAUGCGUAGAGAUGUGGAGGAACACCAGUGGCGAAGGCGACUCUCUGGUCUGUAACUGACGCUGAGGAGCGAAAGCGUGGGGAGCGAACAGGAUUAGAUACCCUGGUAGUCCACGCCGUAAACGAUGAGUGCUAAGUGUUAGGGGGUUUCCGCCCCUUAGUGCUGCAGCUAACGCAUUAAGCACUCCGCCUGGGGAGUACGGUCGCAAGACUGAAACUCAAAGGAAUUGACGGGGGCCCGCACAAGCGGUGGAGCAUGUGGUUUAAUUCGAAGCCAGCGAACAAACUUAACAA
rnacentral:rRNA from 1 species